UACGUAGGGCGCAAGCGUUAUCCGGAAUUAUUGGGCGUAAAGAGCUCGUAGGCGGUUUGUCGCGUCUGCCGUGAAAGUCCGGGGCUCAACUCCGGAUCUGCGGUGGGUACGGGCAGACUAGAGUGAUGUAGGGGAGACUGGAAUUCCUGGUGUAGCGGUGAAAUGCGCAGAUAUCAGGAAGAACACCUAUGGCGAAUGCAGCUCUCUGGGACGGUACUGACGCUGAGACGCGAAAGCGUGGGGAGCAAACAGG
rnacentral:rRNA from 1 species